AAAGUGGGAUACAUGGCAGCUCUUCCACCACAUUCCUUUUGUGGUAUUCACUUCAACAUUUUCAUUUCCUUCUUAUCACACGAAAAUGGAUCUGAGCAUCAUCUUCCUUAGAGCAACUGCUAUUAACAGAGAUGGAGUCCUCAUGGAUCGAUACAAAUUGAUGAGGUAUUGCGGAUAUUUACACUACAAAGGUCAGAUUCAAAUCACAAGGGUUGUAUUUUCUCGUUUCUACAAAUGGGAUUAUGGAGUUCUCUACAACAACAGAUUUGGGGGUUUUGUGUAUGGAGUGAAAUUGGGGUUUGAUUGAUUGAAGGUUGCAGCUGAUGGCAUCUUAAAAACAUGGGUUGAAUUCUUAGAUGGGUUUUUUCUUGAGCGAAAUGGGUCUGAUGUUGGAAUUCCACAAGAAAUUCUCGGAAAUUUUCAUGGCAGUAACAUCGAUUGAAUUUGGGGGUAAAUAUUUGAAGACGAAUUGACUAGAUGUGGAUCUGUUAUGUGGGUACUUGAUUGAAACUGAAAUUAUGAAGCUGGUGCCGGUUGUUAGUGGUAACGAGAUUUGGAUGGUCAAGUAAUCUCGGCAGAAAGAGUCAGUUGAAACUGAUGCUAAUGGUGGCAGUAAGUAGCAUCGUCAUUAGCAGAUUUCAGGGUCUUGUUUGGUGUUGAUGGAGGAGACAGAGAAGCUGCUAUUGAAUUGAGUAUAAUUGAUCAUCAUGAACUCUUGGUUUUGAUAACUAUAGAACAACAAUGAUGGAGUUGGAUGGGGACCAAAAAUGGGUUCAAUUGAGAUUUGUGAUUGGUGGGUUUUGAAUUUGAGAACUGAUGCCAAGGUUUGAUGUGGGUAAUUAGUCUGGAUUGGUUGUGAACUGGUGCGAGUCUCAGUUGGGAUGAUGUUGAGUCGAAUUUCAGAUGUGUAUGGUGCUGCUUAACUAAGUUGGCGUCAGUGACGGUGAUGGCUAGGUAGGAGGACAGAGAUUGAGCAGGUGAUGGUGCUGAGACAAGAGUGAAUUAGUAGUGAAGAGAAGAUGGUAGCAAACAAAGAAUGGAAGGCAGUGGCUGGUAUCUUGAAUGGGUUUUACCUAAUGUUGUUCGUGAUGCGAUAGAGUCAAAUACAGGUAACUGAUUUCAGCUAUCUUUAGGCAGAAACUGGAGGAAGACCAAAUGAAGAGAUGAAAAUGGGUUGGUUCAGGUCUUUUUGGCAUGAAGAUAGGACUAAUUUGUUGACCUAGAAGUUAGAGAAGAAGUCAAGUUGUUGCUGUAUAAAAGGAGAAGAAGAAGCAACCAAGAGGGGAGUAAGAUAUCUCUAAAGACUUGGCGACAUUAGGAGCUGCUAUGGGUGCGGGGAACAAGUGUCGUUGCUUCAGUUGUGAUUAGGCUGAAAUAUUAACGAAAUCACAGCAUUUGGGUAACAUUGUAUCUGUUUCUUGUUUCUUUUGUGUAUGCAAUAUUCUAGGUCUGAUCAUUUUAAUCGACUGCGUAACUAUCACCGUUUAGCUAAUAGGGUAUUAGUGAAUCACCCUAGUCAUCCAAUGGAAGGUGAAGCUGAGAGAUUAGCGGCUGAGGCUGAAGCUGCUAGAAUAGCUGCUGAGGCCGCGGCCAAUGCUGAUGGACCUAGAACCCUUAGGGAUUAUUUGCAGCCGGAAAGGACUUAUACACCUUCUUGUAUAGUUCUUCCGGCUAAUGCUGGCAACGUGUCGAUUAAGUAUGGGCAGAUACAAGCACUGCCUAAGUUUCAUGGAUUAGAAUCCGAGAGUCCAUACAUGCAUUUGAAAGAAUUUGAUGAGGUCUGUACUACUAUGCCUUUUGUUGCUGCGACUCAAGAUGUUGUAAAACUGAAAUUGUUUCCAUUUUCUCUAAAGGAGAAAGCUAAGACUUGGUUGCAUUCUUUGCGACCAAACACCAUUAGGACGUGGAAUGAAAUGACUAGAGAGUUUUUGAAAAAGUUUUUUCCUAUUCAUAAAACCAUCACUCUUCGCAAAAAUAUUAUGAUUUUUCUCAAAAUGAACAUGAGUCUUUUUUCGAGUGUUGGGAGAGGUUUAAAGACUUACUUUCUAGUUGCCCUCAUCAUGGUAAUGAAAUUUGGAGAGUUAUUAACUUCUUUUAUGAGGGUCAGAAUUCUGGUAUGCGUCAGUUUGUUGAAAUGAUGUGUAAUGGGCAAUUUCUAAAUAAGUCACCUGAUGAUGCUUGGAGUUAUUUCGAUUCGCUAGCUGAAAAUGCCCAGAAUUGGGAUACUUCAGGCACAUCGAAUAGAUAUAAGUCCAAAACCUUAGCUAGCUCUAGGUCUGGAAUGUAUGUGCUGAGUGAGGAAGAUGAUUUGAAUGCUAAAAUUGCUAGCUUGCAUAGGAAAGUUGAUGUUAUUCAGAAACCAAAUGUAGUUAAGGUAGCUGACUCGGUAGAACAUGCUUGUGGUAUUUGCGAAAGUCUGGAACACUACACUAAGGAUUGUCCUACGAUCCCAACAUUUCAAGAAGUGUUAUAUGACCAAGCAAAUGCCAUGAAUACAUACAAGAGACCUUUUAGCUCACCUUAUUCAGAAACAUAUAAUCCUAAUUGGCGAAAUCACCCUAAUUUCAGUUGGAGGAAUGGUCCUACUAUGAAUGAUGUAAUGUUCCUAAAGGGUCUUCAUCUAGUAACCCUUAUGUGCCACCUCAUAAGAAUUCUCUUAAGGAUACUUUACAUUCUUUUAUGCAGGGACAGACACAAAUAAAUCAGAAUGUUAUGAAGACUUUAGAUGAGCUGAAAACUAACAUAGUUAGAAUUGAAUCACGUCUCAAUGUUAGGGAGAAAGGUACAUUGCCUGUCUAAACUCAACCUAACCCAAAAGGCCAAUUUGAGGUUAAAAAUUCUAACUUGGAGCAAGCUAAUGUUGUCACCACUCGUAGAAGUGGUAAGGUGAUUGAGACUCCGAUGAAGGUGAACAAACCCGAGAAGUCUCUGGAGCUUAAGAGUAGUGAUGGUUACAGUGAUAUUCAAAAUGAACAUUCUGAAAUUGAUAGAAAGAUGCAUGCUCCAUUUCCUCACUGUUUAUUGUCUAGAAACAGUUGGCUGAUAAUAAGGAUAUCCUUGAUGUUUUUCAGCAGGUGAAGAUCAACAUACCUCUCUUAAGUGUGAUUAAGCGAGUUCCAGCUUACGCCAAGUUCUUGAAGGAUCUCUGCACGGUCAAGAGGAAGCACAAUAUGCAGAAAAAGGCAUUUCUCACGAAACAGCUACGGAUUUUCAACAAAGAUGAUGCUGAACUUACAACCUUUGAGAUCAUUGGAGUACCUGGAAGUGACAAAGAUUUCGAGUAAUGUUGAAGAUUAGGCAUGUGGAAUAGGAGCUACAAAAGUUAAUUCAAUUAUUUUUUGUAUUCCAUAUGUAUU